AUUUCCUCAAUGCAUGCCUUUUAUGAACCCAUUGGACCGGUAGGAUCUCGGUAAAACUGCAGCUGGCAGAAACUUAACAGAUUGGGUCAAAAACAACAGUCAGUGAGAAGCCGGUAACAGGAAGCCCACAAGAAACACCACCAGAAGAUUUACAACUAAGGUCUGUCACGAACAUCCAGGUUUCUUUGUUGAAGACAACAUGAGUGAGCUCUGGCUGUACCCUCCCUGGCGGGCCAGUGGCUAAGACUCAUGCUCCCAAUAGAGAGGGCCCGGGUGCCAUCUGUGGUCAAGGAACUAGACCCCGCAUGCCACAGCUAAAGAUCCCGCAUGCAGCCAGAUACAUAUAUGAAUAUUAAAAGGAGAAUAAACCUUGGCUAACUUAUCUGGAAAAAGAUUGUAUUGGAAGAAAAAGGGGAUGGAGAAGUCGCUGUGGAAAACGGGCCCGCCAUGACCACCAGCACUGUCACAGCCAGACCUGGGUCGCCACAGUGAUGCACACCGCUGGCGGUUAUCUCUGCAUCUCUGCGGCACUUUGUGCAGAUUCCAAGUUUAAGGUGAGUGCACCCAAUUGACGUAACCUGGGUCCCAUGCCCUGACUACUCCCUAGUUACCAGAGAGUGGUGACAAGUACGUG
ensembl:lncRNA